rnacentral:sRNA from 1 species
AAGAGAAAAUUGGUGGACUUCAAGUAAUCAAGCAAUCAAAGGUGGUGAAUCCUCCGAUAAAAGCAAAGAAAUUGUACUUGAGGAUCGAUAGUCGGAGUACUUUAAAAAUUUGACUCUCGAUAUACUCAGGAUAGUCGGUAGAUAGCUCACUUUGUUGAGG